GACGUAGGGGACGAGCGUUGUCCGGAUUCAUUGGGCGUAAAGCGCGCGUAGGCGGUUACGCAAGUCGGUUGUGAAAACCCGAGGCUCAACCUCGGGCCUGCAGUGGGUACGGGCAGACUAGAGUGCGGUAGGGGAGAUUGGAAUUCCUGGUGUAGCGGUGGAAUGCGCAGAUAUCAGGAGGAACACCGAUGGCGAAGGCAGAUCUCUGGGCCGUAACUGACGCUGAGGAGCGAAAGCGUGGGGAGCGAACAGG
rnacentral:rRNA from 1 species